GAGAGCUUGUCCUUGGCGCCUUGCUCUUCCAGAACGCGGCCCCCGCAGCAGCCCCCGGGGUGGCCCCUCGUACGUGGGCUCCGGGCUGCACAACUGCCUUUCGGGCUGGCGUUGAGCUGCUCUUGGGGAAGACGUGUGAAUCCCCUUUUCCUGCACGGGUGGCUGCUCUGAACGGGGAAGCCCCCAGAGACCGCUGCUCCCCGUGCUGUAGUGCGUUGCAGAGUUCCCUUCGAAGACAGCGAGCUGUAUAGUGGAACCAGGACGCUCUCUCACCCGCAGCGAUUCUGCCAGUAAAAUAACGCGGUCGUGUGAUGGGAGCCGCAAGAUGCAGACAUCACCUGCACUGUGAUUUCUGUCAUUCCCACCUCCAGCGUGCAGCAAGCAGGAAUAUUUGGGAGGAAGGGAAGGUCAGAAGUGGAGCCGUGAUGACACCUUCCUGAAGGGGUUCUGGGCACCGGACACAGCAGGGCCCUGCCCCUGACUUGCACCGCCCCCUCCCUGUGCCCUCCUGCUCCACCUGCCAUGCUGAAGGCCUCCAGAGAGUUGUUUGUUCCCAAACCUGUCUGUGCCCGUUGAAAUUGUGUCAUCUAGUUAUUCAUAAAUUGAUGAAGUGUGAAUGUAAAAAGGAAGUUGUUUCUAUAAAAGCCACAUCACUGAAGGCUUUCGGAGGCUUGCAAAGGCAAAUUGUUAGGACAGCGGUGGUGGAACUGGGGGUAGGCUUUGAAAGAUUAGCGGGAGAAGACUGCUCCGGGUCGUGAGAAUCUCGCUCUACUUUGAGGACUUUGAAUGUCCUCUUGCGUGUGGGUCUGGCCGUGAGGAGCGGGGUGGAAAACACGCGUGUCGGGAGAGCCCUGCCGCUUCUGGGACCUUGACCAGCACUGAGCUUCGCUGGCGCCCUUUUAGGUAGUUUUCUGUAACGAGCACUGACUCUGUGAGGAUUUUACCUGAACGAGCCCAGAGGAAGGUGGGUCGGGGG